CCAGUGCCUGGAAACUCACCUGUGCCUUUCUUUUAGUUUUGUUUUUACUGAAAUAGAAACUCUCACUAAACAUACUGUGAUUUAGAUGCCCAGAACACUCCUGCAAAAUAUUUACCAUGUUCAGACGCUUGAAUCUCCUGCUGCUGCUGCUGUUGUACCUUUUCAAUUACAGCGGAACCACCACUAGAUCUGUGAAAGGAAAAAAGGGAGGCAACGUCACCCUGUCAUGUGACUUUAAGGCCAAAGACAUUUAUUAUAUUCAUUUAAGCAGGAUAAAAAGCAUCCUUUCUUGUCAGAAUGAAGAAUGUGAGAGUGAAAGUGAGAGUCAAAAUGGCAGAUUAUUUAAAGAAGGAUCAUGUGACGUCAUCAUCAAGGAUCUGAGACUGAGUGAUGCUGGGAAAUACAUUCUGAGAGUUUAUUACACUAACAAUCAGACAGAGCUGAAGCGACAAAUCAGGACGUAUCGACUUCAUUUUCAGGAUUUUAUUUCUGUGAAGAAAGGAGAGGAGCUGAAGAUGGAUGUUCUGUUGAUGAAUGCUUAUAAAGUAGUGCACUGGACCAAAAGAAGCACAGGGCGGAAAGAGGAUUGGAAUAGAGGUCACGGGGUCAGGAGUGAUCGACUGACCGUCAGAGAUGGAAACCUGAUCAUUAAUAAUUUUACAGCCACUGACGCUGGAACAUAUGAGGUUCUGGACACUCAAGGAGAAAUCUUGAUCAUGGUCACAGUCACAGAAUCAAAGGACAAAAUGCACUACAUAAAUUAUGACACACAACAACAUACUUCCCCAAUUCCAUUUGAAGCAUAUUGGAUUGUCCCAGUUGAACUGUCAAUGUUUUUGGUGUUUCUGGUUGCUUUAAAAAGAAAAAGGAUGCACAGAUGUCCAGGGGCACAACUGCACAUUUGCUGAGGGGUAUGCAAGAUCAGUGUUGGCACCCCCCAGUGUUGUGGCCCCCGCCACAAAAAAUAAAAUGAUAUAUUAAUAAUAAUAAUAAAUAAAUAAGUAAAUUGGUAUUGUUUUCAUUGUUUUGACCCAUGUAGCAUUGUAUUCUAAUAAAUAAGCCACCAAAGUUUUAAUUUCAGCAUUCUCGAUUCCAAACAGGGCCUAGGUUGUACUAAUAGGUGCACUUUGCCUUCUCAGGCAACAACGUUAUAUGUUGCAUAACAUUUAUUGAAACAAGGAUCAAAGCCACUUUUUUCUUGGUUCUAUUAGAAGUUGAAGUGUCUACUCUAUAUGUGUCAAAAAAUACAUGACCAGUCCGUUAAACUGUUGCACAUUUAUUUUCACAAACACAAAAAUGCAAAAACAUGAAAAAAUACUUAAUUCAUUCAGCUAAUACUUCCAAACAGUGCUCAAGUAUGGAUCCAAUUCCUUUGAAAACGUACAUGUGUUAAAUCUGUACAAUAUAUUCCUUAGAUUCUGAUUUAGACAGUUUUCUCAUUUUUGACAGCCAGACGGUAAAAUAACUGUUUUUCCUUCUCCUCCUGCCUCUCCUGAAUCCCUUUAGCUAAAUCAGUCUAUAAAGCUAUACUUGUCUGAACAUAUGAGGAGGAGUGGCUUUAAAGCAAACAAGUAAAAUAUACAAAGAAAACCUUAAGUAAACUUUGUAAUUUUUUGAUUUUUUAAAUAAUACGGCACUUACAGCAAACAGAAAUAGGUUGAGAAUAAUAAUAAUAGUACAAAUUGAAAGCAUAUUGAAUUGGCUCUUACAACAUUGUUGCCUCCCCCACUGUGACUUGAUAUAAUAAAAUAAAGUUUUGAGCUAAUUUUAAAAACUUAAACAAAAGAUAAAUUAACAUGUCAGGUAGAGUUAUUCAAGUUGUUUCUCUGCUGAGUUCAAUUAAAUGUUCAAAGAAUGAUUUUGGCACAAUGACACAGAAGGGGGCGCCAAUGUGUCACUGCAUAAACUGCAUUCUCAAAUUUUUACGCCCCUGAUUAAAAACAAUAUAUAAUUGAGAAAAAAACACUAUACAUUUUUUUAAAGGAACUAGCUGCUUAAUGAAUGUCAUAACCACUUUUGAUACAGCAAUAUUUUUUUGUUUUUUAUAUAAUGUAUUUUGAAAUGGACUAUUGGUAAUAUCGUAUUUUUGUUAUUUUUUUUGUGUGUUAUUUGACUUAAAAAAAUCUAGAAGCAGAACAAUGUUUGGUGGACUUUACAGUCUUAUUGUUCAUUAUAUACCAAAUUAAUUUCUUAUGCAUUUAGGAUAGAACAAUCUAUCCUAAGUCAUUAUCAUUACCUCGCUGUGACUGUGAAGCUUCUGAUCAUCAGUUAUGUGUGAAUGUGAGCAGUUGAGUCUAGUGAGGUCAGAAGUUGUGGUUUUUGCACUGUUUGUGACUGCAUUGUGUAAGGGGAAAUUAAUUUAAUAUUUUCUAUACAGUUGUUCUAUUCUAUUGUCUGUAUAUUUAAAUGUGUAACUUAAUAAAUAACUUAUCCUGCUUUAAAA